rnacentral:lncRNA from 1 species
AAAUCGUGACAAGUAGUAAAGCUCGGAAGUCCGAGUGUCGUGUCCGCAGGGAUUUUAUUGCACUUAUUCAAUACCUCUCAAUUUGUAAGUGGGAGUAAAGUAGUAAAGUAGGAAUGAAAGUAGGAAUAGUAAAGAGUGCUAUUACUAAAACAAAUAAGUAAAAGGGAAAACAAUUGAUAGAAAUGCCAAGACCAGACAAACCCAAUUGGCCUACGAUGCAUGUAAGUAUGAUAUUCAUUACCAAUGAAAUGGUGUUAGUUC